GUGCCUGCUUCAGCAACACAUAUCCUAAUACUGGAAUGAUACAAGGAUUAACACAGCCCCUGCACAAGGGUGACAUGCAAUUUCAUGAAGCAUUCCAAGAGAAA